rnacentral:rRNA from 1 species
AAAGGGGAAGAGCCCAGCACUGAAUCCCCUAGUCCUGCAGGGCUAGCGGGAAAUGUAGUGUAUAGGAGGGUCGCUUCUCCCGGUGCGUCGCAGCCUGUCCAAGUCCCUCUUGAACGGGGCCACGGUCCCUAGAAGGUGCCAGGCCUGUGGGAUGGUUGCGACUAUCGGGAAGGCCUCUCCUUGGAGUCGGGUUGCUUGAGAGUGCAGCCCUAAGCAGGUGGUAAACUCCAUCUAAGGCUAAAUACAACCACGAGACCGAUAGCAAACAAGUACCGUGAGGGAAAGUUGAAAAGAACUUUGAAGAGAGAGUUCAAGAGUACGUGAAACCGUUCAGGGGUAAACGGGUGGAACCCUAAAGGUCGAAAGGGGAGAUUCAGAGACCCGUCCAUUCUGUCGUCCCGUGUCGAGGGGAAACGUGGGUUGGUAACCGGACUCGUCCGACCCUCCCGCGACCCUUGGCAUGGGUUGUCGGCCAGAUGGGGGAGCGCACUUCUCCCCGAGUAGGUCGUCGCGACCCGUUGGGUGUCGGUCUAAGGCCCGGUGUGCGAGCCCGCUCCACGGCUUGUCCGUGGAGAGGAGCCCUGGUGUCCCGACCGACUGCUCGACGGUAGAACGAUAGAGAGCCGGUCCGCGAGCUUGCUCGCGCUCGGUCCCCGCGCAAGCAUCCGCGCGACCUCCGUCGUCGGACUCGUCCGUCGCGGAACGCGCGGUGCUGUUGGUGCGGUGUGUUCUCGAGCCGUGGCCAUUCUCUUGUCUGCGACGCUCAAACUGGGUGGUCCACCCGACCCGUCUUGAAACACGGACCAAGGAGUCUAACAUGUGCGCGAGUCAUUGGGCACCACGAAACCCAAGGGCGUAUUGAACGAAAAGGUCGGACUUGUGCCGGCUUAGGGAAGAUGGAUUGUUCUUCUGGAACGUCUCGCAUUCCCGGGGCGUCUCGUCCUACGUCCGCUCGUCGGACGAAGGUGAGGCGCACCUAGAGCGCACACGUUGGGACCCGAAAGAUGGUGAACUAUGCCUGGCCAGGACGAAGUCAGGGGAAACCCUGAUGGAGGUCCGUAGCGAUUCUGACGUGCAAAUCGAUCGUCGGAGCUGGGUAUAGGGGCGAAAGACUAAUCGAACCAUCUAGUAGCUGGUUCCCUCCGAAGUUUCCCUCAGGAUAGCUGGCGCUCGAUAAAGAGACGAGUUCCAUCCGGUAAAGCGAAUGAUUAGAGGCCUUGGGGCCGAACCGACCUCAACCUAUUCUCAAACUUUAAAUGGGUGGGAUCCGCGGCAUCUUUGAACGCUAAUGCCGCGGUUUCUCGGAUCUGAGUGCCCAGUGGGCCACUUUUGGUAAGCAGAACUGGCGCUGUGGGAUGAACCAAACGCUGGGUUAAGGCGCCCGAAUCGACGCUUAUUUGAAACCAUGAAAGGUGUUGGUUGCUUAAGACAGCAGGACGGUGGCCAUGGAAGUCGGAAUCCGCUAAGGAGUGUGUAACAACUCACCUGCCGAAGCAACUAGCCCUGAAAAUGGAUGGCGCUGAAGCGACGUGCCUAUACCCGGCCGCCAGGGCAGAUGGCGCCCGUCUUCGGACGGACGCCGCCAAGCCCUGGUGAGUAGGAGGGUCGCGACGGUGAGCGCAGAAGGGUCUGGGCGUGAGCCUGCCUGGAGCCGCCGUCGGCGCAGAUCUUGGUGGUAGUAGCAAAUACUCCAGCGAGGCCCUGGAGGACUGAGGUGGAGAAGGGUUCCGUGUGAACAGCCGUUGCACACGGGUCAGUCGAUCCUAAGCCCUAGGAGAAAUCCGAUGUUGAUGGUCGCGGGAUGUCUCUGCCUCUCUUUUGUGUCCGGGAACUCGCGUGAACGCGUCAAGUGGGAGUAAAAAACCAACUCCGUCAGAGUCUCUCAUCCAAGAGCGACGGCGACGACCUCUGCGAUCACGCUGGAUUCGCCGCGUGCUGCCGGAAUCAUAUGCGUUCGUGUUUACACGAUCGUUUCGAACGAUAUUCCGCAGCAGCACGAGCGGGUCUGGUAAGGCGUGUCUUCGCGCGCGUCUCGUCCGCUCGUCUCGAGGGGAGCUUCUCUGGUCGGGUUGCGUUUCUCGAAACCGCUUCCGAAAGGGCGCUGCGCGACUACCGGUGCAAAUCUCAGAGAGCUUACUGCUCCCCGUCCGUCGGGCGAAAGGGAAUCCGGUUCCUAUUCCGGAACCCGGUUGCGGAACCGCACUCACGAUCUUCGUAUUGACACGGUAACGUGAAAGACCCCAGAGAAGCCGUCUGGAGCCCCGGGAAGAGUUUUCUUUUCUGCCUGAGCGUUCAGGUUCCAUGGAAUCCUCUCGCAGGGAGAUAUGGAAUAGAACGCGAAGAGCACCGCAGUUGCUGCGGUGUCCGGGGAGUCUCGUCGGUCCUUGAAAAUCUGGGUGAGGAUCUACGUGGAGGCGUCGCACCGGUUCGUACCCAUAUCCGCAGCAGGUCUCCAAGGUCAAGAGCCUCUAGUCGAUAGACUAAUGUAGGU